GGUCGGGUGGUGUAGUUGGUUAUCACAUCUCGUUAACAGUUUCAAACCUGUAACACACAAACCGAGAAGGUCCUGGGAUCGAGCCCCAGCCUGAUCA